UACGUAGGGCGCAAGCGUUGUCCGGAAUCAUUGGGCGUAAAGCGCGCGUAGGUGGCCUCGUAAGUCCGCUGUGAAAGUCAAAGGCUCAACCUUUGAAAGCCGGUGGAUACUGUGAGGCUAGAGUACGGAAGAGGCGAGUGGAAUUCCUGGUGUAGCGGUGGAAUGCGCAGAUAUCAGGAGGAACACCGGUGGCGAAGGCGGGUCUCUGGGCCGAUACUGACGCUGAGGAGCGAAAGCGUGGGGAGCGAACAGG
rnacentral:rRNA from 1 species